CUCGUAGGCGGUUCGUCGCGUCCGGUGUGAAAGUCCAUCGCUUAACGGUGGAUCCGCGCCGGGUACGGGCGGGCUUGAGUGCGGUAGGGGAGACUGGAAUUCCCGGUGUAACGGUGGAAUGUGUAGAUAUCGGGAAGAACACCAAUGGCGAAGGCAGGUCUCUGGGCCGUUACUGACGCUGAGGAGCGUAAGCGUGGGGAGCGAACA
rnacentral:rRNA from 1 species